UGCCCUGGAUAGAGAGCGGUGUCUCAUAACAGUUUGGAAACUACAAAAGUUUCCCUGGCAGGAUGAAUGAUUGACUCGGCAACAUGUUCUUGCCUUUUGGAGUUGCCCUCCAAUUUUUCCAGGCUUGAUUCUGUAAAUCAUUUCAUCUUGUAAAAAUACUGGGCUGUGAGCACGGAUGAUCUCAAAGAUGAGGAAACAGAAGCUGGGAUAUGUGAGUAAACAUUUCCAAGGUCCUGCAGCUAAUCAAUGGUUGACAACUUCUUUCCUCUGCCUAUGUUGCCAUCCAUGUCAUGGUUUGUGUCAAGACUCUAGGAGAAGUCUACCAUCAGCACCACAGCUACUGUGCACAAAUCCAGAAUGCCAGACUGAAGUCAGAAGGAAAGGGAAAUGUUCUUAUCACCCAUUCCUGUCAGAGAUGAUGCAGCUCAUUGCUGAUGCUGAGAUCCAACGUCCAGUGCCUGAGUACCCCUGGAUUCUGAGCACUAGGGGCUGGACUGUGGAGACCAUCAGUUCAUAACAUCCUGUCCCUGCUCCCUGCUGUAGAUGACUGAGACCAGGGUUCUUAAACAAGGGAGAAGCACUCUCAUACCCCUAGAACAAGAUGAACAAAAGAAGGAGGAAAAAUCUUGACCUCCGUAAGAUCCAGGAUGGCACGUGCAAGGCACUGACACAGCAUCUGCCGGCAUCACUGACUCUCCUGGACCCCAGAAGCCCAGUUCCCCAGGCUCUGAAACCCUGCAGCAAUGAAAAGGAAGCACAGGCAAACCAUAAGGAAGAUAA
rnacentral:lncRNA from 1 species